rnacentral:rRNA from 1 species
GAGUUUGAUCCUGGCUCAGAGCGAACGCUGGCGGCGUGCUUAACACAUGCAAGUCGAACGAAGGCUUCGGCCUUAGUGGCGGACGGGUGAGUAACGCGUGGGAACCUACCUUGCGGCGGGGAAUAACAGUUGGAAACGACUGCUAAUACCGCAUACGCCCUACGGGGAAAGGACUUCGGCCACCGCUUGAGGGUCCCGCGUCCGAUUAGCUAGUUGGUGAGGUAACGGCUCACCAAGGCGACGAUCGGUAGCUGGUCUGAGAGGAUGAUCAGCCACACUGGGACUGAGACACGGCCCAGACUCCUACGGGAGGCAGCAGUGGGGAAUAUUGGACAAUGGGGGAAACCCUGAUCCAGCGACGCCGCGUGAAUGAUGAAGGCCUUAGGGUUGUAAAGUUCUUUCGUCCGUGACGAUGAUGACAGUAGCGGAAGAAGAAGCUCCGGCUAACUUCGUGCCAGCAGCCGCCGUAAC